rnacentral:lncRNA from 1 species
CUCAAUGUAUCCAUCUUACCUCUUGAUUUUCCCUCCCAUUCCCUCACAGUUCCUGAAACAGUGCCCCCCCCCGACCCUAAGCGACCCCUUUCUGCCCCUGGCCUUGAGGUCCCUUGACGUGCUGCUCCUGUCUUCUGCUCCUCUAGUGAGCCAUUCCUCUCCCUUGGAAUUCAUCAGAGUCAUCCCUGUAGAGCCCCCUUCCUGCCUCUCAAUUCCUCCUGCCUCACUUCCCAGGCUACUGCUGCUUCAAGACAGUGACGUUUCUCUCCGGUCAGCUGUCAGGAGCGCUGCUGGGUCUUACUGGGGAUCUGGCCAGCCUUGGGGGCCCUUGGAGCCCUGGCCCAGUGGAAGCUCGUGCCUGAGGAACAUGGAGGCCACGCUAAUGAGUUACUUCCAGAGUCUUCAAGAGUGCCAACUGGGACCAGGACCCCAGACCACAGCCCCCCACACCGUCCUGGACCUGGAUUCUGACUGUGGUUCCACUGUACCCCUCACCUUAAUCUCUGGUUCUAACCAGACCUGAGCCUAGACUUCCACUUUUUCCCUUACCCCUGUGAGGGCCUGGGAACACUAGGUGGGCAGGGUUUGAGCCCACAGGACCUGCACACAAACUUCCCCACCUCUUGGACUUGGGGACAGGAUCUGUGCCUCAACCCAGACCAGCUUUGUAGGGAUAUGUUCCAAGAACAGAGAAGAGUCUUAUGGGGAAGGGGGAGGAAGGGAAGUAUGAAUAUUUACCUCUGACCAAUAAUAGAGGUGCCCUGGUCCCCAAAGAAAUUGACUCCCGAAUUCCCUCCAAGCCUUACCCAUAUAGCUUUUGUUUGUUUGUUUGUUUUCAGACAAGGUCUUGUUCUGUCCAGUGCCGUGGCGUGACCACAGCUCAUGACAACUUUGAUUUCCCCGGCCCAAGCGAGCCUCUCAUUCAGCCUCCUGAGUGGCUGGGACCACAGACGCCACACACAGCUAAUUUUUAUGUAUUCGUUUUUAUUUUUUUGCAGAGACAGGGUCUCCCUAUGUUGCCCAAGCUGGUCUUGAACUCCUGGGCUCAAGUGAUCCUCCUGCUUCAGCCUCCCAAAGUGCUAGGAUUAUAGCCACCGCACCUCGUCUUGAAAUAGCCUUUUAAAUGUUCACCUCAGCUUGCCUCACAGUGGUAAAAAUAAGCAUUUUUUUGUUUUGUAGGAUCAGGGAGCUUCCAAGGCAUUUGAUACCUUUUUGAUGGGAAGAAGGGCUCUGAGGAGCUCCAAGAUACCCCAACCUCCAGGCCCUUCAUUAGGGGGUAGUUGGGUUUCUGUUUGGCCUUUCCCCCUGGGCCCCAUAGGCUUAAACUACCCCCACCCCCACCUCCGCCUCCUACCUCAGCUGGGAGCACUGUCUUCCAUGGGGCUUCCACUUCUCUCCUCAACCUGGGGAAGACCACAGGGCAGUGCCUGCCUCAGGACCUGCCUUCCCCAAAAGCUGGCUUCUUGCUCCAAGGAGAGAGCAUUGACCCACCUGCCAGAGUCUUGCCUUUUGCCCAAAGGAGCCUGGUCUUCAGGGCUGCAUAGGAUGCAAGUGCCUUCUCUGCUUCUCACCGUGGGUGGCACUAAUUUCCUCCUUAACCAGAACUUUGUUCCAGCCACUGACCCAUUCUAACUCUUCCCCCUCUGACUCUCCUGCGCAGGGUCUGUUCCUGGUUUCCCAGAUGCAUAAAGGAAGACAUAUCCCUCCCCUGGGCAGCAAGGCUACAAUGGGAGGGAGGGAGAACAUGGGAGCAUGUGAAUAAAAUGGCAUUAAAUACUGAACCAGGGAGUCCAGCCUCUGCUGUUGCUGCUCUU